UGCGAAUGGCUCAUUAAAUCAGUUAUCGUUUAUUUGAUAGUACCUUACUACUUGGAUAACCGUGGUAAUUCUAGAGCUAAUACAUGCUAAAAAUCCCGACCUCUGGAAGGGAUGUAUUUAUUAGAUAAAAAACCAAUGCCUUCGGGCUUCUUGGUGAUUCAUGAUAACUUUACGAAUCGCAUGGCCUUGUGCCGGCGAUGGUUCAUUCAAAUUUCUGCCCUAUCAACUUUCGAUGGUAGGAUAGUGGCCUACCAUGGUUUCAACGGGUAACGGGGAAUUAGGGUUCGAUUCCGGAGAGGGAGCCUGAGAAACGGCUACCACAUCCAAGGAAGGCAGCAGGCGCGCAAAUUACCCAAUCCCGACACGGGGAGGUAGUGACAAUAAAUACUGAUACAGGGCCCUUUCGGGUCUUGUAAUUGGAAUGAGUACAAUUUAAACCCUUUAACGAGGAACAAUUGGAGGGCAAGUCUGGUGCCAGCAGCCGCGGUAAUUCCAGCUCCAAUAGCGUAUAUUAAAGUUGUUGCAGUUAAAAAGCUCGUAGUUGAACUUUGGGUCUGGGUGACUGGUCUGCGUCUACCGCAUGUACUGGAAACCCGGAUCUUUCCUUCUGGAGAACCGCAUGCACUUUACUGGGUGUGCCGGGGAACCAGGACUUUUACUUUGAAAAAAUUAGAGUGUUCAAAGCAGGCAUUUGCUCGAAUACAUUAGCAUGGAAUAAUAAAAUAGGACGUGCGGUUCUAUUUUGUUGGUUUCUAGGACCGCCGUAAUGAUUAAUAGGGAUAGUCGGGGGCAUCCGUAUUCGAUUGUCAGAGGUGAAAUUCUUGGAUUUUUCGAAGACGAACUACUGCGAAAGCAUUUGCCAAGGAUGUUUUCAUUAAUCAGGAACGAAAGUUGAGGGAUCGAAGACGAUCAGAUACCGUCGUAGUCUCAACCAUAAACUAUGCCGACUAGGGAUUGGGCGACUGUGUUAUUUGAGUUGCUCAGCACCUUACGAGAAAUUAAAGUUUUUGGGUUCUGGGGGGAGUAUGGUCGCAAGGCUGAAACUUAAAGGAAUUGACGGAAGGGCACCACCAGGAGUGGAGCCUGCGGCUUAAUUUGACUCAACACGGGGAAACUCACCAGGUCCAGACACAUUAAGGAUUGACAGAUUGAGAGCUCUUUCUUGAUCAUGUGGGUGGUGGUGCAUGGCCGUUCUUAGUUGGUGGAGUGAUUUGUCUGCUUAAUUGCGAUAACGAACGAGACCUUAACCUGCUAAAUAGCUGGGCUCGCUUUCGCGGGUUCUUGGCU
rnacentral:rRNA from 1 species